UUCCCCCCUCUAUUCUUCAUUUUAGCAAUUGGGGUCCUUUGCUUCUUUUUUUUUUGUUGUAAUUUUUAUAUUUAUAUGAUUGCUCGAUAAGCUUGUAGUGUAGAACUCGAGUGGGAAACAUCAAUGGCGAACAAAAUUAUUUUUUUCGAUCUUUACAUCAAGAUGAUAUUCACUGAAGUUUUAUGAAGAUGGAAAAAAGGCUCAACAUGACAUGCAUUCUUUCUUUUGGAAUCCAGACAAAUGCUAGUCUCAUCAUGAAACAAGAUUCAAAUAUGGAAGCAGAUUCUGCUUUUCCUGAAUGUGAGGAGAAGGAAGUACGUAUGUCUGAUGUAGAAAAAAUGGAGGGGAAUGUAGAAGAGUUCUCGACUGAACAUGAAGGCAAAGAGAAAGAAGCAGUAUCUUCGGCAGUUCAAGAAGAUAGCAAAAUGAAAGAAGGCUCCCCUACAGAACAAGUAGAUGACAUGAAAGAAGCUGUAACUGAAGUUGGGAGCGCCACUGAAGCUGGGAAGUCUGCUCAAAAGUCCGUCAAAGAAGGGUUGCGUAAAAAGAGAAUUGUAAAAGUUCUGAAAGUAAAAAAGAAAAUUAUAAAGAAAUCCCCAGCUAACAGUGUGUUGAAAAAAAAAGAAGCACAGGUUGAACAGGAAGAUGAAAAAAGGAAAAAGAGGUUCCUGUAGCUCAAGAAGUGGAAGAAAGUCCUUUGACUCAGAACCCCACUGAAAGUUCCAAUCCAGAGUCAAAGAAGAAGAGUAAUAAUGAAGUUUUAAAGGUGAAAAGGAAAAUUGUAAAGAAAUCUCCAGCCAGUAGUCAAAAGAAGACUAAUAAGCUUCAGAAUAGUCCUAAGGUGCAAGUCAGAAAGAAAGUGGAGAAUAGUAAGAGUUCGUUGCAGGAGAAUGGGGAAGUAAGUGAAAAAAAGGUAGAAGAUACUGAGGAGCCUAACCAAAAGGAAAAUGUUAAGAAAAGUGUAUCAAAAGAGGAGCAUAUAGAAAAGGGAGAAGAGACUUCUGCUAGUAAAAAGCAAAAUUCUGAGUCUAAAAAUAGCGUCAAGGAAGGGAAGAUCAUAGAGAAGGCUGGUUCUUCAAGUAAAAGCAUAAAGAAUCAGAAAAAGAAAGAAAAGGUUAGAGAGCAAAGGAGUCGAAGGGAAGAUAAAAAUAAAGAAAAUCUUGGUGGACUGAUUUUCAUGUGCAGUGCAAAAACGAAGCCAGAUUGUUUUCACUACAACGUAAUGGGUGUUUCUGCUGGCAAAAUGGAUGUUGUCUUGGCAAUUAAGCCUGGCUUGAAGCUCUUUCUCUACGAUUUUGAUCUCAAGCUUCUGUAUGGGAUUUAUAAAGCAUCCUCUACCGGUGGCAUGAAACUUGAGCCAAAGGCUUUUAAUGGGGCUUUCCCUGCUCAGGUGCGGUUCAAUAUUUACAAGGAUUGUUUUCCACUACCUGAGAAUGUUUUCAAGGAGGCUAUCCAAGAGAACUAUUAUGAGAAGCACAAGUUCAAAGCCGAGCUCACUGUUAAACAGGUUAGGAAGCUCUCAGAUCUUUUCCGACCAGUUGCACUCCAUUCGAGUGCUGCUCCUGUCUUGUCCCAUGUGGAGGUACCAAUUAGGGAUAGAAAUGUUUAUGGGAAAGCUAAAGACAUUCGGAUUAGGAACUCUAAGUCCAAGGAUGAUGCCAGGAAAAAAUACCAUUUGUCAUCUCAUGGAAGGGAUCGACAGAGAGAAGAGGCACCUAGACGUAGAGAGGAGGUUCCUCGUGAUUUAUACCUAAGCGAAAGGGACUAUCGAACAUAUGGGCUCCGGGCAGAGAGAAGAAAUUUAGACCCUGUAUCUCGAUCUUCUUUAGAAACAUACCGCAGGGAUCAUGAUAGGGACUAUCCACUGAAACAUCUAGAGCCUAGAUACAGGGAUGAUGUCUCGACACACGCACAGAGAGAAAUAGUCCAUUCGGAUCAAGUAUACUUUAAUGGGAAAGAUUAUCCAGUUUACAGUAUUGAUUCUAGACAUCAAAUAUCACCUCGAAGACCAAUAUCUGCUAGUGGUACAGAACACAAUGCUUAUGAUUCAAUUUACAGUCGUUAUGGCCUUUCUUCUAUUGAUCCAUAUCUGCUUUCAUCAAGGAGGGAGGAAGCAGCCCCUCCAACUUAUUCAAGAAGUUAUUUAGCUGAUACUGAACCCAUGAGACAUGCUGCUGGUUCUCUAUCGCAUUACAAUCAAGUGCACUACAAAGAUGUGGAAAAAGAUACAAUGCCGGUUUCAUCGCUGUACUCAUUCGCUGGUCCAUCGUUCUCUUAUCGCUAACUUUGAUUUCCAUUUUUUGUCCAGAAUUCCAUAUAGCAAUAGAACUUCGACUGCGUAUGAAAUUUUGAGUCUCAGACCCUCAUUGUGCAGUUGGAAUUCCAUCUUACCUUUUUAGUAGUGAUAAUGUGACGAUGGGGGAAGUAGGGUUUUGGCUGUUGUAUUGGAUUUUGUUGGCGAGUGCUUAAUUACUUGCAAGAUUGCUCUAUCAAACUGGGGUUCUUAAUCAUUGCUGCACUUGUUUUUGACGCGAUGUAGAAUUUGAGGAUGAUUGCAAAUUGUUGAUGAAAAAUCUCGAGUAGGUCAAGAAUAAUGUGAAUAUGGAGGACGUUAUUUAUGUAGCACAAUUGUUUUUAACGAUUUCACUUUUUGUAACUCUAGGUAGUUUUGUAAAGUUAGGCAGGUUUGCAUGCUUCUUAUACAGUACAUUGUUUAAAUUA